rnacentral:rRNA from 1 species
UGGGGAAUUUUGGACAAUGGGCGCAAGCCUGAUCCAGCCAUGCCGCGUGCGGGACGAAGGCCUUCGGGUUGUAAACCGCUUUCAGCCGGAAAGAAAUCGCUGUUUUUAAUAGAGGCAGUGGAUGACGGUACCGGAAGAAGAAGCACCGGCUAACUACGUGCCAGCAGCCGCGGUAAUACGUAGGGUGCGAGCGUUAAUCGGAAUUACUGGGCGUAAAGCGUGCGCAGGCGGUUUUGUAAGCCAGGCGUGAAAUCCCCGGGCUUAACCUGGGAACUGCGUUUGGAACUGCAAGACUAGAGUGUGUCAGAGGGAGGUGGAAUUCCGCGUGUAGCAGUGAAAUGCGUAGAUAUGUGGAGGAACACCGAUGGCGAAGGCAGCCUCCUGGGAUAACACUGACGCUCAUGCACGAAAGCGUGGGGAGCAAACA